GAACCCAACCCAAAACCAAAAUAAAAAAAAAAAAUAUCUCCUCUCUAUUCUUUCUCUCUCUCUCUGCCGCCGUCCCCACCGCCGCCGUCCCUCUGCUGCCGCCACCGUCGCCGUCCCCUCAGCCGCUGAUCCGCCGCCGCUUCCAAAAAUUAAAACAAAACCCAUACAUACAAGUUAGCAGUUGCAGAGAGAGAGGGGGGCAAGCAAGAGAGUUGAGAGACAGCCGCUGAAGCUUGCGAACGGCGAACCCGAACUGGAAAGGCGGGGGAUGGAAACUGAAGGAUAUGGGUUUUGAUUUUUUGAAAAAUCUGAAAUGAUAUGCCGAUAUGGGUUUUGAAAUAGGUGAUGUUUGCAGAAAUUUGAAGGUCCAGGGAUAUUUUUCUGGCAAAUUGCGCUGUAUAAUACACCCACAAUAUAUAUAUAUAUAUAUAUAUAUAUAUAUAUAUAUAUAUAUGAGCUGUGACUGCGGUUUUGGAAAUCUGCAGCAAUGGGAGUCUUAAAAGACGGGUCUAUUUCGGGAGUAUUACCCAGUACAGAGGCCUUUGCAAUUCACUAUCCUGGUUACCCUUCAUCUACAGCCCGUGCUGUUGAGACUCUUGGCGGAACUGAAGGAAUUCUCAAGGCUCGAAGCUUGCAGUCAAACAAGUUGGAGCUCUAUUUCCGUCCCGAAGAUCCUUAUUCACACCCUACUUUUGGGGAGCUUUCUCCCUGUAAUAAUUUUCUGUUAAAAAUUUCCAGAAAGAAAGAUAGGGAUGGUCAAAAUGCUGACGACUCUAACAGGAUACCAAAAUGUUUAUCAUCAAAUGCCAUUAAUCAUGAGAAAAAGAUGUGCCAUUCUGAAGUAGUGAAAACUGGGGAACAAGUAAGUCAACCUGAUAGUGGAUUGAUUGCUGCUUCUGCAGAAUCUCAAGCACAUGUACCUGAAGACGAGGAACAAGAUCUUCAUGCUGACAUUAUUGCUCGAGUGUCAGAUGCCUAUCAUUUUAAUGGAAUGGCAGAUUACCAACAUGUUCUUGCUGUUCAUGCGGAUGCUGCCCGAAAAAGGAAGAGAAAUUGGGCAGAUAUGGAACCACAAUUUGAGAGGAGUGGUUUAAUGAAUGUGGAUCUGGAAGACUUAAUGAUUCUAGUGCCGCCACUUUUCUCGCCAAAAGAUGUGCCAGAGAAAAUAGUGUUAAAACCAUCAGCUAGUCUGAGCUCAAAGAAGAAACAAGAGGGAGUUGUACAAAAUCGUUGGGAGAUGGAUAUAGAGCCAUGUCUUGCCAUAGACUUUAAUAUCAAAGAGAUACCCAAAAAAAUAAAUUUGGAGAAAUACAUUUCCCAAGACUCAGAACAAUGGGAGUGGCAGAUGACUGUAUGUAAGUUGUUUGACGAGCGUCCUAUAUGGAUAAAAAAUUCACUGGCUCAACGUUUGCUUGACAAAGGUCUGAAAUUUGGAGAUCAUAUGCUCAGAAGGCUUCUCUUCAGAACAGCAUAUUACUUCUCAAACGGGCCAUUCCUUCGUUUCUGGAUCAAGAAAGGAUAUGAUCCACGCAGAGAUCCUGAAUCUCGCAUAUAUCAAAGAAUUGAUUUUCGAGUACCACCAUCAUUGCGAAGCUAUUGCGAUGCUAACAUGGCCGCUGGGUUAAAGCAUAGAUGGGACGAUAUAAGUAGAUUUCGUGUUUUUCCUUAUAAAUGCCAAAUUUCAUUACAGCUUUUUGAACUUGAAGAUGAUUACAUUCAACAAGAGAUUAGAAAACCUUCAGACCAGGAAACUUGCACUUGUGCGACAGGAUGGUUCUCCUCACGUGUGCUUGAUUGCUUGAGAUUAUGUGUCGCUACGAGAUUUCUAUCUGUAUACCCUAAAGCCGGUGCAGAAGCCUUGUUGAAAUUGGCAAUUGAACGCUUUGAAAAGUCAAAGAAGAUGAAAAUCUGUAUAAAGGACUUGAAAGCUGAUCAAGAGGGGCAACGACAAGUGAAUAAAGAAUUGGCAGGCAACGAAGACAAAGAAGACUCAAAUGAUGAAGAUGAGAUUGAAGAAGAUGAAAUUGAGGAUGAUAAUGUCGAAGAGGAAUUUGAUGCAUAUGAGGCACUUGAUCUGGCUGGUGAGGAUGACAGUUACUUCCCACAACCAUAUUCAUAUACAGACCAUGAGAACACCUCGAAGAACUACUUGCAAGAACUUUUUGGUAGUUUUCCAUCCAGUGAAACAGGUGGCAGUAAGUUGCAAGAUGCUGACGACAGUGAUGGAGAAUUCCAGAUAUAUGAACAAUACAGCAAUGAUGAUUGCUCUGAUGAUGAUGACGACUACUAACAUUCUCAAUUGGUAGCUGUAAUCUUAAAGAUAACUUUCUUCAUUACGUUAUUGGAGUGGGCCUGCGUGUGAUCGACUUGCAUGAUGCAUAACAUGUGCCAUUCUAUGUUGUAUUAGAAGUAUCAUCGUGUCCUAAACUGUUUGUAGCCUUACCAUCAAGCAUAUGCGCCUGUUUUUUUGGCAGUUGGCAGGCCUCAACUUUCACGAUUCUGUAAAUACCUCCCUCCCUCCCUCCCUCCCUCCCUCCCUCUUGGUCUUCAACUUUUAGUUUUUGCACAUAACCCCCUUGAAGUGUAAGAGAUGCUGCAAAUCACCCCCAUGCCGUGUGUGGACCAUUAUGGAAUGGAUGAAUUAGUAUCCUAUGUGAUUUUAAAUUGUAAAACUCCUAUAAUGCCCUUUUAGGUACAAUGCUGAGUUUCAAUGAAUCUGGCAGUGUUUUUCUGACCAAAAGUCUCAAUGAAAGUAGCUUUACAUGGAUAAGUGUAGCAGUUUAACCUUUAGCUACAAUUUUAGGCAUUGCUACGUAAAUUGGACAUCUAAAUAUAAAUUUUUGUCCCCAAGCUUUCGAACUGCAAUGCAAACUAUACAUUUAUUUAUUUUUAUUUCUUCUAAGUUUAGCUAUAACAUAAUGGAGUCGAAAGGGGUGUUUUACUCUUA